GGGCAUUGGGCUUGGUGGGUAAGAGCACUUCCUCUAUACACAUGAUGACCCAUACUGAAUCCCAAGCAGCCACCUUAGAAAGCUGCCCAUGCGAACAUAUCCAGGAUCAGAGGUUUCUGGUGAUGCUGCUGCCUCAGAUGAAUGUACUUCACUUCUCUUUGUCUCACUGUCAACACCACAAAAUGUGGUCAACUCUGAAAAGAUAACAUGAGAAGCUGUCAAUUUAAACACA